rnacentral:tRNA from 1 species
GGCUAGAUGGCAGAUUAGGUUAUGCAUAAGAUUGCAAAUCUUUUUAAAUUGGUUCAAAUCCAAUUCUAGCUU